rnacentral:rRNA from 1 species
AUUGAACGCUGGCGGCAGGCCUAACACAUGCAAGUCGAGCGAGCGGCGGACGGGUGAGUACUGUAUAGGGACUGCGCGAUAGCUGGGGAGAACUACUGGAAACGAUGGCUAAUAACGCAUACAGUCCGAUAAGCCAUCUGGGAUUAGCUAGUAGGUGAGGGAAUGGCUUACCUAGGCGACGAUCCCUAGCUGGUCUGAGAGGAUGAUCAGCCACACUGGGACUGAGACACGGCCCAGACUCCUACGGAGGCAGCAGUGGGGAAUAUUGCACAAUGGGCGCAAGCCUGAUGCAGCCAUGCCGCGUGUGUGAAGAAGGCCCUAGGGUUGUAAAGUACUUUCAGUCGGGAGGCGUUACCGACAGAAGAAGCACCGGCUAACUCCGUGCCAGCAGCCGCGGUAAUAC